CACAAACUGUCAGAGCCUGGGAUUCCUAGGAAAGAGUAAAUCCUUCAGGGUCACACAGACAUCUUCCCUGCUGUACUGGGACUGCUCCAAAGACCUGCAUCAUACUGCCCCUGACAGUUCACAGUUGGAAGCCUGAGAUGUAUGGCCACCACCAGCCAGCAGUUUUAACAAGAAAAGAACCAACAAAUACACCAAGGAUCCACACUGGAAAAAAGCAAGAGACUGUCCUGUCAGCUCACCAAUAAGGAAAACCUAAAAGGUUGAACUGCUUACCCAAGAUGACAUAAGCCCCAAGUUAGAGGGUGGGAAUCCCAGGUCCCAACAACAGUGUUUUUGGAAAUGGUCCGGAUUUCCUGAUAAGAAACAAGACAAUCACCCACCAGAGCAGAAUUAAUGGCAGAAAAAUGAUGGCCUUAUAGAAGCCUCUUCUUGGACCAUGGACCAUGAGGAUGGAGUGAAACUCCAGAGUAUGUGCCCAAAGGAUGCUGCUAUCACAGAGAUG